rnacentral:rRNA from 1 species
ACGGGUGAGUAACACGUGGGUGAUCUGCCCUGCACUUUGGGAUAAGCUUGGGAAACUGGGUCUAAUACCGAAUAUGACCACUUCUUGGAUGUUGUGGUGGAAAGCUUUUGCGGUGUGGGAUGAGCCUGCGGCCUAUCAGCUUGUUGGUGGGGUAAUGGCCUACCAAGGCGGCGACGGGUAUCCGGCCUGAGAGGGUGUACGGACACAUUGGGACUGAGAUACGGCCCAGACUCCUACGGGAGGCAGCAGUGGGGAAUAUUGCACAAUGGGCGCAAGCCUGAUGCAGCGACGCCGCGUGGGGGAUGAAGGCCUUCGGGUUGUAAACUCCUUUCGCUAUCGACGAAGCCUUCGGGUGACGGUAGGUAGAUAAGAAGCACCGGCUAACUACGUGCCAGCAGCCGCGGUAAUACGUAGGGUGCAAGCGUUGUCCGGAAUUACUGGGCGUAAAGAGCUCGUAGGUGGUUUGUCGCGUCGUCUGUGAAAUCCCGGGGCUUAACUUCGGGCGUGCAGGCGAUACGGGCAUAACUUGAG